rnacentral:rRNA from 2 species
GGACACGUGGUAUCCUGUCUGAAUAUGGGGGGACCAUCCUCCAAGGCUAAAUACUCCUGACUGACCGAUAGUGAACCAGUACCGUGAGGGAAAGGCGAAAAGAACCCCGGCGAGGGGAGUGAAAAAGAACCUGAAACCGUGUACGUACAAGCAGUGGGAGCACAGGUUUACCUGUGUGACUGCGUACCUUUUGUAUAAUGGGUCAGCGACUUAUAUUCUGUAGCAAGGUUAACCGAAUAGGGGAGCCGGAGGGAAACCGAGUCUUAAUUGGGCGUUAAGUUGCAGGGUAUAGACCCGAAACCCGGUGAUCUAGCCAUGGGCAGGUUGAAGGUUGGGUAACACUAACUGGAGGACCGAACCGACUAAUGUUGAAAAAUUAGCGGAUGACCUGUGGCUGGGGGUGAAAGGCCAAUCAAACCGGGAGAUAGCUGGUUCUCCCCGAAAGCUAUUUAGGUAGCGCCUCGUGAAUUCAUCUCCGGGGGUAGAGCACUGUUUCGGCUAGGGGGCCAUCCCGGCUUACCAACCCGAUGCAAACUGCGAAUACCGGAGAAUGUUAUCACGGGAGACACACGGCGGGUGCUAACGUCCGUCGUGAAGAGGGAAACAACCCAGACCGCCAGCUAAGGUCCCAAAGUCAUGGUUAAGUGGGAAACGAUGUGGGAAGGCCCAGACAGCCAGGAUGUUGGCUUAGAAGCAGCCAUCAUUUAAAGAAAGCGUAAUAGCUCACUGGUCGAGUCGGCCUGCGCGGAAGAUGUAACGGGGCUAAACCAU